rnacentral:rRNA from 1 species
GACGAACGCUGGCGGCGUGCUUAACACAUGCAAGUCGAACGGAAAGGCCCUGCUUUUGUGGGGUGCUCGAGUGGCGAACGGGUGAGUAACACGUGAGUAACCUGCCCUUGACUUUGGGAUAACUUCAGGAAACUGGGGCUAAUACCGGAUAGGAGCUCCUGCUGCAUGGUGGGGGUUGGAAAGUUUCGGCGGUUGGGGAUGGACUCGCGGCUUAUCAGCUUGUUGGUGGGGUAGUGGCUUACCAAGGCUUUGACGGGUAGCCGGCCUGAGAGGGUGACCGGCCACAUUGGGACUGAGAUACGGCCCAGACUCCUACGGGAGGCAGCAGUGGGGAAUAUUGCACAAUGGGCGGAAGCCUGAUGCAGCAACGCCGCGUGCGGGAUGACGGCCUUCGGGUUGUAAGCCGCUUUCGCCUGUGACGAAGCGUGAGUGACGGUAAUGGGUAAAGAAGCACCGGCUAACUACGU